GACGAACGCUGGCGGCGUGCUUAACACAUGCAAGUCGUACGGUAACGCCCUUUUGGUGGUACACGUGUGGCCGACUGGUGAGUAACACGUUAAUAACCUGCCACCUACUUAGGAAUAACGCUAGACAAAUCGUGAUAUUACUUAAUAUCUGCUCCUUCCUGAUGGAGAAAGUUGGGAAGCGCCGGCGGUGGUGGUAUGACUCGCGGCCUAUACGCUUGUGGUUGUGGUUGUGGCCUACCAAGGCGACGACGGGUAGCCGGCCUGAGAGGGUGAGCGGCCACAUUGGGACCGAGGGACGGCCCAAGUGCCGAAGGGUGGCAGCAGGGGGGAAUAUUGCACAAUGGGAGCAAGGCGGAUGCAGCAACGCCGCGGGUGGGAUAACGGCCUUCGUGGUGUAAACCGCUUUCGGCAGGAACGCAGCUUUUGGUGACGGUACCUGAAGAAGAAGCACCGGCUAACUACGUG
rnacentral:rRNA from 1 species